AGAGUUUGAUUAUGGCUCAGGACGAACGCUGGCGGCGCGCCUAACACAUGCAAGUCGAACGAGAGAGAGGGAGCUUGCUCCCUUGAUCGAGUGGCGAACGGGUGAGUAACGCGUGAGGAACCUGCCUCAAAGAGGGGGACAACAGUUGGAAACGACUGCUAAUACCGCAUAAGCCCACGGCUCGGCAUCGAGCAGAGGGAAAAGGAGCAAUCCGCUUUGAGAUGGCCUCGCGUCCGAUUAGCUGGUUGGUGAGGUAACGGCCCACCAAGGCGACGAUCGGUAGCCGGACUGAGAGGUUGAACGGCCACAUUGGGACUGAGACACGGCCCAG
rnacentral:rRNA from 1 species